AGAGUUUGAUCAUGGCUCAGAAUGAACGUUGGCGGCGUGGAUUAGGCAUGCAAGUCGAGCGCCCCGCAAGGGGAGCGGCGCAAGGGUGAGUAAGGCGACGGUAACCAACCCCAUGAUUGGGAAUAGCCGCGGGAAACUGCGGGUAAUGCCCAGCGACGUCAUAGGAGGGCAUCCUCCCGUGACCAAAGCUCCGGCGUCGUGGGACGGGCCGUCGUGGUAUUAGCUUGUUGGCGGGGUGACGGCCCACCAAGGCUGCGAUGCCUACCGGGCGUGCGAGCGUGGCCCGGCACACUGGGACUGAGACACUGCCCAGACUCCUACGGGAGGCUGCAGUCGAGAAUCUUCGGCAAUGGGCGCAAGCCUGACCGAGCGACGCCGCGUGGAGGACGAAGGCCUUCGGGUUGUAAACCACUGUCGGGAGGGACGAAUGCGCCGCAAGGCGAGUGACGGUACCUCCAAAGGAAGCACCGGCUAACUCCGUGCCAGCCGCCGCGGUAAUAC
rnacentral:rRNA from 1 species